UACGUAGGGUGCGAGCGUUGUCCGGAAUUAUUGGGCGUAAAGAGCUCGUAGGCGGCUUGUCACGUCGGAUGUGAAAGCCCGGGGCUCAACUUCGGGCUUGCGGUCGAUACGGGCGGGCUAGAGUUCGGUAGGGGAGACUGGAAUUCCUGGUGUAGCGGUGAAAUGCGCAGAUAUCAGGAGGAACACCGGUGGCGAAGGCGGGUCUCUGGGCCGAUACUGACGCUGAGGAGCGAAAGCGUGGGGAGCGAACAGG
rnacentral:rRNA from 1 species